UUUGCUCCUACCCAAGUGGAAAUUCGAACAGCCGGCGUCUAUUUCCUUUCGUCUCCAACGAUUGCCACAAUAGCUAGGGUUUCUCUAUAGCAGAUUUCGACGCCGCCAAGUUGAUGUUAUCGGUGGUCUCGUUGCUGAAAACAAUGGAGAAAAUGGUGAAGGCAUCGGUAGCGUAGUGGACGUUGCUGCAACAGCUGAAGUGACUGAGGAUGUAGUUUUUAAAGAAACCAACCAUUACAUUUAGAAUAUAAUAUCACAAAAAUAAAAAAACUAACUUUUUUACAUUUUAUAUGUUUAUUAAUAGCAGGUUAUAGAACAAAAUGAAGGAGCAAAUCCAAGGGAGUCGGGUACUGAGAUUCAGAAUGACGGAGUAAUGGGCAGAACUAUCACAACGGAUAAGGUAAAUUACUAGGUUACUGUCAAAUUCGUUAUAAAUAUGUUUGUGUUAAAAUAAACUUAUAUUUUAAACCUAGUUUAAUGCAUUUUAAUUUUUUUUUUCCAAGGAUGUGGUGAUCGAUGGAAGCGUCCCUGCUGCAUGCUCAGGGAUGGAAGCGUCCCUGCUGGAUGAUGUAGAUGAACAGGGAGACAUUGCUUGUGACAUGGCCGUUGCAAAGAAAAUGAAAAGUGCGGCCGCUGACGAUGGUGGUUCAGCAAAGGACGAUGAGGUAUUUGGUUACUAUAAAUACAUAUCAUGACGACAACAUAAAUAAAAUUCAGUAAAAACGUGGCCGUAUUAUCUCAACUACAGAGAGGAGACCAUCAAGGUAAAAUCUGUGACUAAUUCGAAAAUACAUAUUGUCAAGUGGAAGUGGGCGGACAAGCGAAAUACAUUGGACACAGCUAUUUAUCUUAUGCGAUGUUUGGAGACCUUCAUGGGAGAUAUUUCAUCAAAUUGGAAGUGUGACAUGUACAACGCAGGUGCACGCCAAUUAUCUCGAAUGCGCGUGAGGUAUUGCUCGUCCAUAAUAUCAUGGAAUGGGGAUGAUAAGAAAAAAGAGAUUCAGGAGACUGCUGCAAAAGAAUAUCAUGAGAUUUGUCUUGAUCCAUCUGUUAACAUAAAUUCAUUAUUGGUCGGUUGAGUUAGCUUCAUUUUUACGGGAGUUUAAUUAUCUAGGUUUUUGGACAUAUUUUAAUUAUCAGUUUUCCAACAUU